AACGAACGCUGGCGGCAUGCCUAACACAUGCAAGUCGAACGAGACCUUCGGGUCUAGUGGCGCACGGGUGCGUAACGCGUGGGAACCUGCCCUUAGGUUCGGAAUAACUCCCCGAAAGGGGUGCUAAUACCGGAUAAUGUCUUCGGACCAAAGAUUUAUCGCCUUUGGAUGGGCCCGCGUUGGAUUAGCUAGUUGGUAGGGUAAAAGCCUACCAAGGCGACGAUCCAUAGCUGGUCUGAGAGGAUGAUCAGCCACACUGGGACUGAGACACGGCCCAGACUCCUACGGGAGGCAGCAGUGGGGAAUAUUGGACAAGGGGCGAAAGCCUGAUCCAGCCAUGCCGCGUGAGUGAUGAAGGCCUUAGGGUUGUAAAGCUCUUUUACCCGGGAUGAUAAUGACAGUACCGGGAGAAUAAGCUCCGGCUAACUCCGUG
rnacentral:rRNA from 1 species